rnacentral:rRNA from 1 species
CUGGCGGCAGGCCUAACACAUGCAAGUCGAGCGCACCUUCGGGUGAGCGGCGGACGGGUUAGUAACGCGUGGGAACGUGCCCUUCUCUAAGGAAUAGCCUCGGGAAACUGAGAGUAAUACCUUAUACGCCCUUCGGGGGAAAGAUUUAUCGGAGAAGGAUCGGCCCGCGUUAGAUUAGAUAGUUGGUGGGGUAACGGCCUACCAAGUCUACGAUCUAUAGCUGGUUUGAGAGGAUGAUCAGCAACACUGGGACUGAGACACGGCCCAGACUCCUACGGGAGGCAGCAGUGGGGAAUCUUGGACAAUGGGCGCAAGCCUGAUCCAGCCAUGCCGCGUGAGUGACGAAGGCCUUAGGGUCGUAAAGCUCUUUCGCCAGGGAUGAUAAUGACAGUAUCUGGUAAAGAAACCCCGGCUAACUCCGUGCCAGCAGCCGCGGUAAUACGGAGGGGGUUAGCGUUGUUCGGAAUUACUGGGCGUAAAGCGCACGUAGGCGGACUGGAAAGUUGGGGGUGAAAUCCCGGGGCUCAACCUCGGAACUGCCUCCAAAACCAUCAGUCUAGAGUUCGAGAGAGGUGAGUGGAAUUCCAAGUGUAGAGGUGAAAUUCGUAGAUACUUGGAGGAACACCAGUGGCGAAGGCGGCUCACUGGCUCGAUACUGACGCUGAGGUGCGAAAGUGUGGGGAGCAAACAGG